AUUGAACGCUGGCGGCAGGCCUAACACAUGCAAGUCGAGCGGAUGAAGGGAGCUUGCUCCUGGAUUCAGCGGCGGACGGGUGAGUAAUGCCUAGGAAUCUGCCUGGUAGUGGGGGAUAACGUCCGGAAACGGGCGCUAAUACCGCAUACGUCCUGAGGGAGAAAGUGGGGGAUCUUCGGACCUCACGCUAUCAGAUGAGCCUAGGUCGGAUUAGCUAGUUGGUGGGGUAAAGGCCUACCAAGGCGACGAUCCGUAACUGGUCUGAGAGGAUGAUCAGUCACACUGGAACUGAGACACGGUCCAGAGUCCUGCGGGAGGCAGCAGUGGGGAAUAUUGGACAAUGGGCGAAAGUCUGAUCCAGCCAUGCCGCGUGUGUGAAGAAGGUCUUCGGAUUGUAAAGCACGUUAAGUUGGGAGGAAGGGCAGUAAGUUAAUACCUUGCUGUUUUGACGUUACCAACAGAAUAAGCACCGGCUAACUUCGUG
rnacentral:rRNA from 1 species